UGGGUUUGACAUGUCAGAGAAAGUUUUCCGAAAGGAAAACCCUUUAAUAAUUUAUUAUUAAACUCUGUCACAGGUGAUGCAUGGCUGUCGUCAGCUCGUGUCGUGAGAUGUUAGGUUAAGUCCUGCAACGAGCGCAACCCCUAUAUUUAGUUGCCAGCACAUAAUGGUGGGGACUCUAAAUAGACUGCCCGGAAUAACCGGGAGGAAGGUGGGGAUGAUGUCAAGUCAGUAUGUCCCUUAUACCCAGGGCUACACACGUGUUACAAUGGAUAGUACAAAAAGUAGCAAUUCCGCGAGGAGGAGCCAAUCUUUAAAACUAUCACCAGUUCAGAUUGAAGUCUGAAAUUCGACUUCAUGAAGCAGGAAUCGCUAGUAAUCGUAGGUCAGCACACUACGGUGAAUACGUUCCCGGGUCU
rnacentral:rRNA from 1 species